UACGGAGGGUGCAAGCGUUGUCCGGAUUUAUUGGGCUUAAAGGGCGCGUAGGCGGCUAUUUAAGUCAGGGGUGAAAUCCUUCAGCUUAACUGGAGAACUGCCAUUGAUACUGAAUAGCUUGAGUAUAGUUGGGGUAGGCGGAAUUGACAGUGUAGCGGUGAAAUGCUUAGAUAUUGUCAAGAACACCGAUUGCGAAGGCAGCUUACUAAACUAUAACUGACGCUGAGGCACGAAAGCGUGGGUAUCAAACAGG
rnacentral:rRNA from 1 species